CUUUGUAACUUGUCCUCCAUCCUAGCCUUGUGUCUUUUCUUCUCACGUUGAUCUCAAUAUUGUGGUUAAGGAAUUUUAUAUUGACAUUAAAUUUUUCUCUAGAUCAACUUUAAUUUUAACAAGACACAAGGCUUCAUCAGGCACAACAUCUUCAAUUUUUGGGGUUACUCAAUAUGCAACUUGGGCAGGCAACAUAACGUUACAUAUUUCGUUUUGGGCUAUGAUAUUUUAUUUUGGCCAAAUAUAAUAUCGUUUCCCCAAAAAAUUUCUGAGUAGUUAGGGUGCCUACGUACCUUAACGAGGAAUAGUCUCAUCUUGAUUGCUCAACAGCUCUAUUUCACGUCGGUCUAUGCCCACAAAGAUUUACUCUUAUGCGG
rnacentral:lncRNA from 1 species